rnacentral:rRNA from 1 species
GAUGAACGCUAGCGGCAGGCCUAAUACAUGCAAGUCGAACGGUGUCUUCGGACAUAGUGGCGCACGGGUGCGUAACACGUAUGCAACCUACCUUACAUUGGGGGAUAGCCUUUCGAAAGGGAGAUUAAUACCGCAUAAGACAGUAGCUGGGCAUCCAGCAGCUGUUAAAGAUUUAUCGAUGUAAGCUGGGCAUGCGUCCAAUUAGCUAGUUGGUGAGGUAACGGCUCACCAAGGCAAUGAUUGGUAGGGGAACUGAGAGGUCAAUCCCCCACACUGGAGCUGAGAUACGGGCCAGCCUCCUACGGGAGGCAGCAGUAGGGAAUAUUGGGCAAUGGACGCAAGUCUGACCCAGCCAUGCCGCGUGCAGGAUGAAGGCGUUAUGCGUUGUAAACUGCUUUUAUACAGGAAGAAACGACUCUUGCGAGAGGCAUUGACGGUACUGUAUGAAUAAGCACCGGCUAACUCCGUGCCAGCAGCCGCCGUAACAC